AUGUUCAGCAGCAGCAACAAGGCCAGCAACGGCUGGAGGGAGGUGCAGGGCAACUUCAUCCCCUUCUGCUGUUGCCCAAUGUCGAGGACGGUCCAGGAGCCGCCGCUCGUCCUGGCGGUGGACGACAGCCUCGUCGACUGCGUGGUCAUCUCCUGGAUCCUCCGCAGCUCCAAAUACAGAGGUGGACACAUUGCUGGAGCCGUGUGGCACUCCUAA
rnacentral:rRNA from 1 species